rnacentral:tRNA from 1 species
GGAGAGGUCGCAUAGUGGUCGAGUGCACCGCCUUGGAAAGGCGGCAUACUGUCACAGGUAUCGAGGGUUCGAAUCCCUCCCUCUCCG